UACGGGGGGGGGCAAGCGUUGUUCGGAAUUACUGGGCGUAAAGGGCUCGUAGGUGGCCAACUAAGUCAGACGUGAAAAUCCCCUCGGCUUAACCGGGGGAACUGCGUCUGAUACUGGAUGGCUUGAGUUUGGGAGAGGGACGCGGAAUUCCAGGUGUAGCGGUGAAAUGCGUAGAUAUCGCUUGGAACGCCGACGGUGAAAACAGCUCGCUGGGGAUUCGCUGACGCUGAGACACGAAAGCCAGGGGAGCAAACGGG
rnacentral:rRNA from 1 species